rnacentral:rRNA from 1 species
CCUACGGGUGGCAGCAGUGGGGAAUAUUGGGCAAUGGGCGCAAGCCUGACCCAGCAACGCCGCGUGAGUGAAGAAGGACCUCGGGUUGUAAACUUCUUUUGGCAGGGACGAAGAAAGUGACGGUAGCUGACGAAGAAGCCACUGCUAACUACGUGCCAGCAGCCGUGGUAAUAAGUAGGAGGGAAGCGUUAUUCGGAUUUACUGGGUGCACAGGGCGCGUAGGCGGGGAAGACAGUCAGAUGUGAAAUCCCAGGGCUCAACCCGGGAACUGCUUUUGAAAACGUGUUGCGUGAGUGAAGGAGAGGCAAGCGGAAUUCCGGGUGUAGCGGUGAAAUGCGUAGAUAGUCGGAGGAACACCAGUGGCGAAGGCGGCCUUCUGGACUGUAACUGACGCUGAGGCGCGAAAGCGUGGGGAGCAAACAGGAUUAGAUACCCGAGUAGUC